GCCAUCUAGGCCCAUGAGGCCGCACCGCUUCCCGCAAUCCUGCUAGACUCAUAGACUGCCAAAGGCGUUUCAUCUAGCAACUGAAGAGAAAAGAUGCAGAAACCCACAGCCAACAACUAGGAACAUCAUUGUGUAUAAAGAAUUGUUCCUUCUCAAAAAGUGACAAAGAGUGAUAUUUGUCUUCUAUAUAGAGGAAAAAUGCCAGCAUUUAUUACCAAGAAACAAUAAGGGAAAACAAUGACUGUGGAGAUGGGACAUCUUCCGUUUGGCCUGAGGAAAUACAGGAACAAAGAGUGGAGCCGAGAUUGAAGGGAAGGCCAUCCAGAGACUGCCCCACCUGGGGAUCCAACCCAUAUACAGUCAUCAAAGGAAGACAUUAUUGUGUAUGUCAGAAGUGCUUGCUGACAGGAGCCUGAUAUGGACGUCUCCUGAAUAGCUCUGCCAGAGCCUGACAAAUACAGAUGCAAUGCUCUCAGCCAACGAUUGGACUGAGCAUGAGGUCCCCAAUGAAGGAGUUACAAUAAGGACUGAAGGAGCUGAAGGGGUUUGCAACCCCAUAAGAAGAAAAAUAUCAAUCAACCAGACUCCUCAGAGCUCCCAGGGAGUAAACCACCAGCCAAAGAGUACACGUGGAGGAAUCCAUGGCUCCAGCCACAUAUGUAGCAGAGGAUGACACCUGUUGGGCAUCAAUGGGAGGGGAGGUCCUUGGUUUUGUGAAGGUUUGAUGCCCCAGUGUAGUGCAAUACCAAGGUAGGGAGGCAAGAGUUGGUGGGUGCAUGGGUGAGCACCCUCAUAGAAGGAGGGAUAGGGGUCGUAUAGGGGUUUUCAAAUGUAAAACCUGGAAGAGGGAUAACAUUUGAAAUGUAAAUAAAACAACCAAUAUCAUUUUUUUAAAAACUAUCAUUUACAGCUUUCUUUAUCUGUAUUACACCUUACACAUAAAGAAAAACUUUCAAAACAAAUUUAUAAUGUAAUUAUCUUGCUCCAUAAUAUGAGAGAGAAUACAAAUGUUAGUCAUAAACCUUCAAAAUCAAAAUAAUAUAAUGACAACUUUUAUUUGAUAUAACGAACAAUAAAGUACUUAUAUGUUGCUAUAAAUGUGGUCAAGGACGUAUUUACAGUUCAGGCACGUGUUUCCAGGGCUGUAUGUGGUACCCUGGAUGGUUAGAAGAAAAGAAUACAUGUAGCUGUGGAAAUGAGCUUGGGAUGAGCCUAAUGUUGGACAAAAUGAUCAAUUGUGUGUAAAGGAUGUGACCCUCACAAAAACACUGUAUAGAUACAGAGGGUCAUUUCCAUUCAUUGUGUUUAAUUAGUGGUCUUGAUUUUGGAAGCCUAUUUUGAUUUUUACUUUGCCUAGUGAUCUGAAGUUUCACAUUGUUAGGAAUUUGGCAGAGCCUAGUUUCCUUCCUGGUGACAGUGGCUUUUUACUUUGUUGUUUGAAAACUUGGAUUUUUUUUUCAGUUCUAGCUACACUCUGCAUUAUUUUAUUAUUAUUCAUCCCCCCUUUUUAGCUCCUCAUUCUAAACUGUGUAUUCUACUUGUCCUAGAACAGUCAGAUCAUUUCCCACAAUAUCUUUGAAUUUUCUGUUACAUUUUUCAAUAUGUUGCUAUUAGUUUACUAUAUGCCAUCAAAUAUCUCAAACUUGGAGUUGAAUUUUAAUGUUUUAUAUUUAUAGUCCUAUAGUGUGUACACGAUAGAAUUUUUUAGAUUUUAUCAUCUGAAUGAGGAGAUUUGUUUUCUCAUGAUUCUUAAUUAUGUAUUUGCUUCACAUUUUGUUGUCCUUUGUGGGGUGUCAGUAUUUGCCAUAAAUAUGUUGUAUAAUGGCUUAUUCUGUCUCUUUUAGAGUUUUGUUUUAAACACUGCAUGAUAAUAUUUAAGGUCAAGAGAAUGAGGUUGGCUGGACACUUGUCCUUUGAAUCAGGGCCUUACUGAUUGGGAACUUCAUUAUGGGGUUUAAAGGUGGGCAACUGACUUAUCCUCCUCUUCCUGCAGUGACUUUGCUAUCAUUAGGCCAUAGGCUCCUCCAAACCCAUAAUGAAUAGAAGGUUUUAUUCAUUUGUGGAGCCAUAGAGGUAAACGGGGUGUUAGAUAAUUAUCUCAUGUUAUGUUGUAGAUAUAGAGGUACAAAUAUUAUAUAAUCCUAUUUCCAAACAUACCUGGAUGUAAUAUCUCAGAUGUUUUAUGUCCAACCAUCUCAAAACCCAUAUAUUACUCAUAUAAAGACAUUUUCCACAAUUAUUUCAUUUUCAAUAAACUUGUGUGGUUUCACUGAAAUUUUGGUAAAUUUUUAAUAUCCACUAUAUUUUGUCAGAUUUUGAGUACCUAUUGAAAAUAUUUAUUUUGUACUCUUUUAACUACAACUAUGUGUAGUUAAUUAAAGUGAUUAAUUAUCUGACUUAUCCUUCUGUGGGGUCUGUUGCCCUCAUUUGACCCCUUGGACAUUUGUAAUCAUGAAGAAUAGAAACAGACAGACACACAUACACACACACACACACACACACACACACACACACACAUAAACAUAUAUGUAAAAAUACAAUGAAAAUUUAAAACAUGGAAUUACAUUCUUUGAAAUAAUGAAAAGCAAAGAAACUUAGUAGCAAAGUUUUAAUAAAAUUGAAAUAUAAACAUGUUGCUAUAUUUGAUAUUAUAAUUAUCUAAUAAGAUAAGAAGUGGUUUAAAAUUUUAUAAUAUUAUAGAAAACUAUAAUUUGGUAAAUCUGUAUUGAUCACUAAUCUAAAACCUCAACACUUUGAAAACUUCUGAAUCAUUUGAUCUAAAAUGUCUAGGUUGUUUACAAAGAUUUGAUUUUUUUUGACAUUAUCAAGGUUAUUAAUCUUUACAUUCCUUGAUUUAAUCUACUAAUAAGCUAAAGGAUUUAUUAUAUUAUCAUCAAUAUAGUAUUUUUUCUUAUAAUCUCUUACCAUAUUAGUUUGUAUACUUACUCUACAAAAUAAUGUGAUUCAUUUUGACAAGUUAAAUAUGUAUAUGCAAAACUUUGUUUAUAUGUACUUCCCAAUAAAUUUCUAUAACCAUAAAC
rnacentral:lncRNA from 1 species